AAAUUGAAGAGUUUGAUCAUGGCUCAGAUUGAACGCUGGCGGCAGGCCUAACACAUGCAAGUCGAACGGUAGCACAGAGAGCUUGCUCUCGGGUGACGAGUGGCGGACGGGUGAGUAAUGUCUGGGAAACUGCCUGAUGGAGGGGGAUAACU
rnacentral:rRNA from 3 species